UACGGGGGGUGCAAGCGUUAAUCGGAAUCACUGGGCGUAAAGGGUGCUUAGGCGGUGCAUUAGGUCUGUCGUGAAAUCCCCGGGCUCAACCUGGGAAUGGCGGUGGGAACCGGUGUACUAGAGUAUGGGAGAGGGUGGUGGAAUUCCAGGUGUAGCGGUGAAAUGCGUAGAGAUCUGGAGGAACAUCAGUGGCGAAGGCGGCCACCUGGCCCAAUACUGACUAUGAGGCACGAAAGCGUGGGGAGCAAACAGG
rnacentral:rRNA from 1 species